AAGCCAGACUCCUACGGGAGGCAGCAGUGGGGAAUAUUGCACAAUGGGGGAAACCCUGAUGCAGCAACGCCGCGUGAGUGAGGAAGUAUUUCGGUAUGUAAAGCUCUAUCAGCAGGGAAUAGAAAAGAAGGUACCUGAAAAAGAAGCCCCGGCUAACUACGUGCCAGCAGCCGCGGUAGUACGUAGGGGGCAAGCGUUAUCCGGAUUUACUGGGUGUAAAGGGAGCGUAGACGGCUGCGCAAGUCAGAAGUGAAAGCCCGGGGCUCAACCGCGGGACUGCUUUUGAAACUGUGUAGCUAGAGUGCAGGAGAGGUAAGUGGAAUUCCUAGUGUAGCGGUGAAAUGCGUAGAUAUUAGGAGGAACACCGGUGGCGAAGGCGGCUUACUGGACUGUAACUGACGUUGAGGCUCGAAAGCGUGGGGAGCAAACAGGAUUAGAUACCCUGGUAAG
rnacentral:rRNA from 1 species